rnacentral:rRNA from 1 species
UACGGGGGGGGCAAGCGUUGUUCGGAAUUACUGGGCGUAAAGGGCUUGUAGGUGGCCAACUAAGUCAGACGUGAAAUCCCUCGGCUUAACCGGGGAACUGCGUCUGAUACUGGAUGGCUUGAGUGUGGGAGAGGGAUGCGGAAUUCCAGGUGUAGCGGUGAAAUGCGUAGAUAUCUGGAGGAACACCGGUGGCGAAGGCGGCAUCCUGGACCAACACUGACGCUGAGUGAGCGAAAGCCAGGGGAGCAAACGGGG